ensembl:lncRNA
CCUCCCCUCCCCCCACCGCUUCCCAGACAGUUCGACCCUCCUCCUCACCGAUGCCUAGAGUCAGGGACGCCAGGAGCAUCUAGGGGCGGGGUUUCACCUUUUGCCUUGAAACUGGAAGUCAGCGUCCCCUCCCCGCCACCACCAUGGGCUCUUGGUGGCCAGACCGUCCUCCCAGAGGUGGGGACACCCCAGAUCCCAGGCUAGGACCCCGCUGGCCCCGAGGAGGAGUCCAGGAUGAAGCCCGGGGCGGUGGGAAGACUUAGCCCGCUUCCGCAGAAAAGAAAGGCGGCCUGCGGAGGGUCAUCCGCACCCCCAGAGCAGCUCCCACUCGCGGGAGGGGGGACCCUGGUGUCCAACCCCAUGUGUCGCAAAUGGGGUCUGAGAUCGGCUCAGAAGGGGUCACUGUAAGUCGCGUGGCGGGCGGCAGAGGCUGGGUUCUCGAGGUGUCUGCCUCCGCCAGCCUGUCUGCUGUCUCCAAAGACCCCUUAGGGAAUCCCGCGUCCUGCCAUACACCCCCAACCGGCCUGUGAGCCUCAUUGCAGGGUCAGACACCUUCAGCGCCGGCCAGGUCCCAGGUCAAGGUCAACAGGGAGCCCCUGGACGCAGCUCAGCAGUGCCUCUGGGUGACAACGCGCCUGUGACCUCCUGACCCUCAGCUGCAUUGUCUUGCUGAUGGGAUAGGGCUUCCCUUUAGCGAUUUGUGUUCUCCUAUUUUAUGUCAUCAUCUCUAUGAAGAGCGUUUUGGGUGUGGACCCAAGAGCCUGGGAAUAAGUUGGCAUCUAUAACCGAAUACGUUUCCGUCCCCAUAACCGUGUAGAUCCACACGUAGAUCUGGGUUUAUCUGGUUCCACGUUUUGAGGUCCUGCGUCUUUGCCGUACAGGUAUGCGCGGGCCCUCGGGAAGAGCCGGCUGGGCUUGGACCGCUAACGUCUCAUUCAGCUGGAUCGAGCCCACACUUCUAUAUGCACAUAACAGAGAUGCGAUAAAUUCUUUCUUAUUUUUCCUUUUUAAAAAUCAAUAAAUCAUUUGUGAUGCUUUUAACAAAGAUUAAAUGCGUACGAUCGGUGUUUGCCUU